CCUACGGGCGGCAGCAGUGAGGAAUAUUGGUCAAUGGGCUUACGCCUGAACCAGCCAAGUCGCGUGAGGGAAGAAUGCCCUCUGGGUUGUAAACCUUUUUUGUCAGGGAGCAAUUGGCGCUAAGUGUAGCGUUAUCGAGAGUACCUGAAGAAAAAGCAUCGGCUAACUCCGUGCCAGCAGCCGCGGUCAUACGGGGGUUGCGGGCGUUAUCCGGAUUUAUUGGGGUUAAAGGGUGCGUAGCCGGAAUGCCAAGUCAGCGGUAAAAUCGCGGGCCUCAACCUCGCUCUGCCGUUGAAACUGGCGUGCUUGAGUGGGCGAGAGGUAUGCGGAA
rnacentral:rRNA from 1 species